rnacentral:rRNA from 1 species
CAGCAGCCACGGUAAUACGUAGGUCCCGAGCGUUGUCCGGAUUUAUCGGGCGUAAAGCGAGCGCAGGCGGUUAGAUAAGUCUGAAGUUAAAGGCUGUGGCUUAACCAUAGUACGCUUUGGAAACUGUUUAACUUGAGUGCAAGAGGGGAGAGUGGAAUUCCAUGUGUAGCGGUGAAAUGCGUAGAUAUAUGGAGGAACACCGGUGGCGAAAGCGGCUCUCUGGCUUGUAACUGACGCUGAGGCUCGAAAGCGUGGGGAGCAAACAGGAUUAGAUACCCGGGUAGUCCCUGUCUCUUAUACC